rnacentral:misc_RNA from 1 species
AAAGUCGUAACAAGGUUUCCGUAGGUGAACCUGCGGAAGGAUCAUUAAUCAAUAAUAGUUCUUUGCUUCGGCAAGAACAUCUUCAUUCCAAACACUGUGAACUAUAAACUACAAUCUCCCUUUGAAAUUCACACAGUAAUCCUUAAUUGCGUGAACAGCCAAUUCAUUGGGAAUCAAGAUUGUAUCCCAUUUAAAACACUACAAAGUUUAAAGAAUGUAAUAAAACAAAAAAACAAAACAAAACUUUCAACAACGGAUCUCUUGGCUCUC